UACGGAGGAUGCAAGCGUUAUCCGGAAUGAUUGGGCGUAAAGCGUCCGCAGGUGGCUGUGUAAGUCUGCUGUCAAAGAGCGAAGCUCAACUUCGUAAAGGCAGUGGAAACUACACGGCUAGAGUGCGUUCGGGGCAGAGGGAAUUCCUGGUGUAGCGGUGAAAUGCGUAGAUAUCGAGAGGAACACCAGAGGUGAAGACGGGUUGCUGGGCUGACACUGACGCUGAGGCGCGAAAGCCAGGGGAGCAAACGGG
rnacentral:rRNA from 1 species